rnacentral:rRNA from 1 species
AGCGAACGCUGGCGGCAGGCUUAACACAUGCAAGUCGAGCGGGCAUCCUUGUGGUGUCAGCGGCAGACGGGUGAGUAACGCGUGGGAACGUGCCCUUCGGUUCGGAGUAACUCAGGGAAACUUGAGCUAAUACCGGAUACGUGCGAGAGCAGAAAGGUUUAUCUGCCGAAGGAUCGGCCCGCGUCUGAUUAGCUAGUUGGUGAGGUUAUGGCUCACCAAGGCGACGAUCAGUAGCUGGUCUGAGAGGAUGAUCAGCCACACUGGGACUGAGACACGGCCCAGACUCCUACGGGAGGCAGCAGUGGGGAAUAUUGGACAAUGGGGGCAACCCUGAUCCAGCCAUGCCGCGUGAGUGAUGACGGCCUUAGGGUUGUAAAGCUCUUUUCUCCGGGACGAUAAUGACGGUACCGGAGGAAUAAGCCCCGGCUAACUUCGUG